rnacentral:rRNA from 1 species
UACGGGGGGGGGCAAGCGUUGUUCGGAAUUACUGGGCGUAAAGGGCGCGUAGGCGGCCUGCUAAGUCGGACGUGAAAUCCCCCGGCUCAACCGGGGAACUGCGUCCGAUACUGGUGGGCUCGAAUCCGGGAGAGGGAUGUGGAAUUCCAGGUGUAGCGGUGAAAUGCGUAGAUAUCGGGAGGAACACCAGCGGCGAAGGCGGCACUCUGGGCUGGUACUGACGCUGAGGAGCGAAAGCGUGGGUAGCAAACAGG